GACGAACGCUGGCGGCGUGCUUAACACAUGCAAGUCGAACGGAAAGGCCCCUUUGGGGGUACUCGAGUGGCGAACGGGUGCGUAACACGUGAGUAACCUGCCCUUGACUUCGGGAUAACUUCAGGAAACUGGGGCUAAUACCGGAAAGGAAUCCUUGCUGCAUGGUGGGGGUUGGAAAGCUUCGGCGGUUUUGGAUGGACUCGCGGCUUAUCAGCUUGUUGGUGGGGUAGUGGCUUACCAAGGCUUUGACGGGUAGCCGGCCUGAGAGGGCGACCGGCCACAGUGGGACUGAGAUACGGCACAGACUCCUACGGGAGGCAGCAGGGGGGAAUAUUGCACAAGGGGCGGAAGCCGGAUGCAGCAACGCCGCGUGCGGGAUGACGGCCUUCGGGUUGGAAACCGCAUUCAGCAGGGGCGAAGCUUGUGGUGACGGUACCUGCAGAAGAAGCACCGGCUAACUACGUG
rnacentral:rRNA from 1 species